GUGGGGAAUAUUGCACAAUGGGGGAAACCCUGAUGCAGCAACGCCGCGUGAGUGAUGAAGGCCUUCGGGUUGUAAAUCUCUGUCUUUGGGGACGAUAAUGACGGUACCUAAGGAGGAAGCCACGGCUAACUACGUGCCAGCAGCCGCGGUAAUACGUAGGUGGCAAGCGUUGUCCGGAUUUACUGGGCGUACAGGGAGCGUAGGCGGACUUUUAAGUGAGAUGUGAAAUACCCGGGCUCAACCUGGGUGCUGCAUUUCAAACUGGAAGUCUAGAGUGCAGGAGAGGAGAAUGGAAUUCCUAGUGUAGCGGUGAAAUGCGUAGAGAUUAGGAAGAACACCAGUGGCGAAGGCGAUUCUCUGGACUGUAACUGACGCUGAGAUGCGAAAGCGUGGGUAGCGAAUGGGAUUAGAAACCCGGGUAGUCC
rnacentral:rRNA from 1 species